UGAAUACGAGGCACUAAGGUGCUGAAGUAGUGUAUGUCAUACUUCCAAGAAAAGCUUGCACUAUCGUAAGAUAAAAAUGCCUGUACCAUAACCGACACAGGUGGGUAGGUAGAGUAUACUAAGGGGCGCGAGAUAACUCUCUCUAAGGAACUCGGCAAAAUAACUCCGUAACUUCGGGAGAAGGAGUGCCUUAUUCUAUAAGGUUGCAAUAACAAGAUCCAAGCAACUGCUUAUCAAAAACACAGGUCUCCGCUAAGUCGUAAGACGAUGUAUGGGGGCUGACGCCUGCCCAGUGCCAGAAGGUUAAAGAAGUCGGUUAGCAAUUGCGAAGCUGGUAACUGAAGCCCUGGUGAACGGCGGCCGUAACUAUAACGGUCCUAAGGUAGCGAAAUUCCUUGUCGGGUAAGUUCCGACCCGCACGAAAGGCGUAAUGAUUUGGAUACUGUCUCGGAGAGGGACUCGGUGAAAUAGACUUGUCUGUGAAGAUGCGGACUACCUGCACCAGGACAGAAAGACCCUAUGAAGCUUUACUGUAACUUGAAAUUGAAAUUGGACUUUAUUCGCGCAGUAUAGGUGGGAGGCGUUGAUUAUAAUCUUGUGGGAUUAUUGGAGCCAUUAGUGAGAUACCACUCUUGUAAUGUUAGAUUUCUAACUUUGAAUCAUGAUCUGGUCAAAGAACAGUUUCAGGCGGGCAGUUUGACUGGGGCGGUCGCCUCCUAAAUGGUAACGGAGGCGUACAAAGGUUUCCUCUGAACGGUUAGAAAUCGUAUCUAGAGUGUAAAGGCAUAAGGAAGCUUGACUGUGAGACCUACAAGUCGAGCAGGGACGAAAGUCGGUCUUAGUGAUCUGACGGUACUGAGUGGAAAGGCCGUCACUCAACGGAUAAAAGUUACUCUAAGGAUAACAGGCUGAUCUCCCCCAAGAGUUCACAUCGACGGGGAGGUUUGGCACCUCGAUGUCGGCUCAUCGCAUCCUGGGGCGGUAGUACGUCCCAAGGGUUGGGCUGUUCGCCCAUGAAAGCGGUACGCGAGCUGGGUUCAGAACGUCGUGAGACAGUUCGGUCCAUAUCCGGUGUAGGCGUUAGAAUAUUGAGAGGAGCCUUCUUUAGUACGAGAGGACCGAGAAGGACAUACCUCUGGUGUACCAGUUAUCGUGCCAACGGUAAACGCUGGGUAGCUAUGUAUGGAGUGGAUAACCGCUGAAAGCAUCUAAGUGGGAAGCCCACCUCAAGAUAAG
rnacentral:rRNA from 1 species